UCGUAUGUGCUUUUGAUUUAGGUUCACUUACACAGCAGUUGAACAUUGGUGAAUAGUACUGGAAAGAAGAAAACUUACCAUUUUCAGCAUUCUAAGCUCCCUUCUUGCAACCUUUGCUCUCCAGAGACAUUGAAGGGGUUUCCAUUAAAGAUUGAAGUUGUUGCUGUAUUUUGAAGUUUGAUGUAUGAGCAGGUCUUGGACCUCCAAAAUUUCAUAAAAUUCCUGCAAACUAUGAAAUCUGGCUUACCUUGAAGCGGGUACCUAUAGAUGAGAACUUGGACUGCUUAGAUGCGUCCUCAGGUAAUGGGGGGAAGAGGUUUGCAACAAAAGAGCACCUGGAGGCAUCUAAAAGAGCUUGAUGUUCGGCUACAACAUAGUCCUUGUUUUUAUCAAGGAAUUGAUCAGCUUGUGGGAUCCUGGCCGAUUGAAUUGUUUAUCUUAUCCACUAGCCUGCAUAGUUCAUUACGUAAGCAUUCAAGAUUAAUCUUUCCGACACCAAUACAGACCUCGUUUGAGCUGAAGAUGGGGUGAAAGUUUAGGUUGACUUU